GCUGGGCGUGGUGGCGCAUGCCUGUAAUCCCAGCUACUUGGGAGGCUGAGGCAGGAUAAUUGCUUGAACCCGGGAGGCUGAGGUUGCAGUGAGCUGAGAUCGCGCCACUGCACUCCAGCCUGGGUGACAGAGGGAGACUCUGUCUCAA
rnacentral:SRP_RNA from 1 species